ensembl:lncRNA
CUCCUGGAUCGUUGAGUGAAGUCAAUUAAGAUCUUUAAAAUUUACUCAGUUAACUUGUGAUUUGUAACAGUGUGUAUUUCCUUGCUGAAGUAUCAAAAUCAGUGCAUAUUUAUGUUGUCCCUUCCAUGUUCUGAGCAUUGUGCUGGGCGGUAUUGAGGAAAACAGAAGGGCAGUGGGUAAGGCGUGAUGUCUGGUGGGUAAGGAUGGCCGUAUGACCUGCUCUGACUAACAGGAUGUGGCUGAAAUGACUGCAUUUCUGAGGCUGGGGCCCAAGAGUUCUGUGGCUUUCACUUUCUCUGCUUGGCAUACAGCCUCUUGG